AGGUUACUGGUGCUUAUAUUGCCUGAAUAAACAGAGAGAGUGACUGGAAAUAUGCAUUUCCUGGGUCUAUUCACUUGUGGCUGACUGACACCUAAGGAGAUGAAAAUGUGAAGUUUAGAAAAUUACUCAAGUUCAUGUGGUUUGAAAGAGGCUGAGCGGGUAUUUGGAACUACUGCUGCCUGUCUGGAACUUGUCACAUCAUCUGACUGACUUUCAGAUGCAGUCUGAAGGAUGGAAAUGUUUAUGAUGGACAGAAAUUGGGAUGAAAGGCAUUCCAAGAAGAGACACCAGUGUUGGCAAUGGAAGAGGGGGACAAGACAGGAAGGAGUUGUCACCUUAGGACCCGCAGACAAAAGCAGCCAUUAGAAAAUGGACAUUCUGGCACUUUGAAGAAGGGAUCCUAAAAUCUCUGAAUCUUGACUCUGAGAAGAGUUUUCUUGAACUGAAUCAUAUUUUCUCUGCUGACUGUGAACUUACUGUUAUUUAUAUGAGUUAUGUGCUUAGCAGCCCUGUAUUUUAUCAAUAUCAAUGAGUAAUCACAAAAGUGUGUGAAACAACAAAGGAACUCUAUAAAAUGCUUUUGCUAAUUACUUUUGCAUGAAAAGGAAAGACAAUGGUCACAGUAUGAUUUUAAUGUUUGGUACUACAUUAUUUAGAAUUUAGGAAUUGGGAAUCCAAUCAUUGUUUAUUCAUCAAACAUGUUUUAAACAUCUGUAAUGUCACAGGUAGUGUAAGUAUGUGGCAAGGACACAGAGCAAGCAAAACGAAACAUUCUCUGACCUCAAUGAUCUCACAAUUUGUGGGGAAAAUCAUUGAAUAAUCAUAUAAAAUACAGCUGAUAUGUGUUGAAUGUCAUUUAUUAUGUUAUAUAAUAAACCCAACAAUGUGCCCAUUAAGGAAUUGUCAAUUUAGAGGAGGAACAUAUUUCAAUUGAAUAGUUUUUUAUGGACAAAAAAAAUAGGGAAAAAACCCAAAUGAUUAAGAUAAGAAACUAAGUUUAAGUUCAAUUACUAUGUGGGUAGAAUUACAAUCUAUCAGGGAAAUGUUGGAUAAUUUACUAAAUACUCUUGACAUACUGCUUUGUUAAAAUUUUAUAAAAAAUAUAAGGGCUAUUUAAGAUAUUUUAUAUAAAAAGAGAUGUGUAUACUCCAGAUAUGGAAAUGAUAUUAGCCCAGGUUUACAGGCAUGAAAGUCCAUGUUCAGGCCAUAGUGAAUAGUUUAAAAUAGCAGAUUGUAGGAGGUUUGAAUUAGAAUUCUAGGAUAUAAAAAUAAAAGAUAGUUAGGGACCAGAAUUUAGAAGGCAUGGAAUAUCAUGCCAAGAAGUCUGGAAUUUAUUCUUGAGAUAUUUGCAAACUCUACAACAUUUCAAGUAGAGAAUGUUGAGAUCAGAUCUUCCUUUUAGAGCUGUAACUCUGGUAGGGCUACAGAGGAAAGACUGAAAUUGAUUGGAGAGGGGAGAGGGGAGUGAGAAGACAAGACUGAAGGUACAUGCACUUGUUAGGUAGCUAUGUACUGAUAGAGGUGGGAAAUAAAGAAGGUGAUCUCAUUACGGAGAGGUGCACAGAAAAAACAUUUUCAGAGAAUAAUGUAGGAAAAAAUCAUAAUUUGGAAGGGAGUGAGGAUGAAAGGGAAGCAAAGAAAAUGACUCACAGGUUCCUAAUGUCAUAAAUCUAGGACAAGUUUGUCAUAAUUUCAGAAAUAGUCUGAAAUUUGGCCCUGGACCUCUGAUGAGAAAAUCAUUGGUUAAAAAAAAAAUAACUAUUGAAAAGGAUACAUAGAAUAAAAAUUAAUCUAUGUACUCUGUGUAAUAGUAAACUAUAAUAUUUCUGUUUUAAUAUUGCAUAUAAUAUAUUAUUAAGCUUAAGUUUAUGUGUAGGGUAAGUCAAAUUACCCCUCUACAUAAGCAAGGGCUUAUCAUUUCAGCACAUUUUCUUGCAUAGUAUCUCUACCAGAUAUUUGGUUCAUUCUUUAAU